CCUUGCAGUCACAAUGGCAGUUCCCAGGUUGAGCCCGGGGAUUUCACCACUGUCUUACAAAACCGCCUGCGCACGCUUUACGCCCAGUAAUUCCGAUUAACGCUUGCACCCUACGUAUUACCGCGGCUGCUGGCACGUAGUUAGCCGGUGCUUAUUCUUACGGUACCGUCAUGACCCGGGGAUAUUAGCCCCA
rnacentral:rRNA from 1 species